rnacentral:sRNA from 1 species
UUACCCUGGUACAAAAGGGUAAGAAGCGUGU